CCAAACAAGAAGUUUAUCAGGAAGCAGAUGACAGGAAAUCAUGUAACAUUUAACGCACCUUUUUUGAAUAAUCUUUUUUUUUUUUUCUUUUUUUUCCUUCUGCUUGGUGCAGUUGAGAUUGAUUGCAAUGAUGAACACCUUAGGUUGGCCUGGAGACAGAAGGAUGGAAGCUGGAGAAAAGCUACGUCUGUGGAGUUUCUGAAGAGCUUGGGGAAAGGUCAGGAAAUAAACUCCAGGGAAAGGAAAGAGCAGAUGGUGCAUAAGGAAACUCAUAUUCCAGAGAAAAUUGGCCACUGA
rnacentral:lncRNA from 1 species